rnacentral:rRNA from 1 species
GUGGGGAAUAUUGGACAAUGGGCGCAAGCCUGAUCCAGCAAUGCCGCGUGAGUGAUGAAGGCCUUAGGGUUGUAAAGCUCUUUCACCGGGGAAGAUAAUGACGGUACCCGGAGAAGAAGCCCCGGCUAACUCCGUGCCAGCAGCCGCGGUACUACGGAGGGGGCUAGCGUUGUUCGGAAUUACUGGGCGUAAAGCGCGCGUAGGCGGCUUGACAAGUUGGAGGUGAAAGCCCGGAGCUCAACUUCGGAAUUGCCUUCAAGACUGUCUCGCUCGAGGCAGGGAGAGGAGAGCGGAAUACCCAGUGUAGAGGUGAAAUUCGUAGAUAUUGGGUGGAACACCGGUGGCGAAGGAGGCUCUCUGGCCCUGAUCUGACGCUAAGGCGCGAAAGCGUGGGGAGCAAACAGGAUUAGAAACCCCAGUAGUCC